CGCGGGGUGGGGUAGCCAGGUUAACCCGCGGGGCUCAUAACCCCGAGAGCCGUGGUUCAAAUCCACGCCCCGCUACCA
rnacentral:tRNA from 1 species